rnacentral:rRNA from 1 species
GCACAAGCGGUGGAGCAUGUGGUUUAAUUCGACGCAACGCGAAGAACCUUACCAGGGCUUGACAUCCCCUGACCGCGUAUGAAAGUACGUUUUCACCCUCGGGUGACAGGGAGACAGGUGGUGCAUGGUUGUCGUCAGCUCGUGUCGUGAGAUGUUGGGUUAAGUCCCGCAACGAGCGCAACCCCUACGUUUAGUUGCUAACGCGUGAAGGCGAGCACUCUAGACGAACUGCCGUUGACAAAACGGAGGAAGGUGGGAUGACGUCAAAUCAUCAUGCCCCUUAUGUUCUGGGCUACACACGUGCUACAAUGGCCGGUACAGACGGACGCAAAGCCGCGAGGUGGAGCAAAUCCUAAAAAGCCGGUCUCAGUUCGGAUUGCAGGCUGCAAUUCGCCUGCAUGAAGUCGGAAUCGCUAGUAAUCGCAGGUCAGCAUACUGUGGUGAAUACGUUCCCGGGCCUU